AGUCCCCUGGAAUCUAAUUUCUCUUUUCACUAUGAAGACCGGGCUGACCUAUGGGGCUCCGAUAGGAAUGAAAUUCUUUCCUGCCUUCCCUCCCAGAAGUGAGGUGCAGAGGAGAACCUGGCUUCCCCGAAUGUGGACAGCAUGAAGGGCCCAACCCAAUGCUGUGUCCCCACGGGCCUCCCUGCUGCCUCUGCACUUGAGCUCUCUCAGCCUCCCGCACCAGUUUCAAGACUCCUCCUGCUCCACAGAGGACAUCGAGGCAUCUCAUUGGGCUCCCCAGUUCCCCCCCAGGCCCCAGAGGGAAUAGCAGCACCCUUCCAGCGUGGGGCCCCAUGGUCAGUCUUGCUUGUGGCCCACAGAGGAGCGGGGCAGGAAUGGGCUUUCAUGAACACUGACGUUUUUGCCGGAACCAAGAUAGACCCCGGAGUCUUGGUGCAGAAGCUGGACCCGGACACGAGGAGUGUUGCUUCCAUUAGGAGAGGUGCGGAGGCCAGGGCUGUUCUACCCAAGAAGGAGAAGCUGAAACUGCGGCGGGAGAGGUGGCUGCAGACUUUUCAGGGAGAGACCUGGCACAGAGCAAAUGAACAAACCCGAGAGCGCCGCGCCCGCAUCUUUCACGUGCAACAGGCCCUGGGCCUCCCCGCUGUCCCCCUGGAAAUCGAAGCCAUAAAGCUGGCCGAGCAGAAGCGCAAGGCGGAGCGGAGACGGAGGGCCACGGUGGUGGUGGGGGACCUGCAGCCCCUGAGAGAUGCCCUCCCUGAGCUGCUGGAGCUGGAGGCCGGCAGUCGGCAGCGUCGUGCCAGAGGCAGCGUGAGCAGCAGGCCCCGGCCCUCCGAGUUGAGCCGUAUGAGCGCCGCGCAGAGGCUCCAGCUGCUUGAGGAAGAAAGGGCUCGGUUUCGGGAGCUGCUGGCCAGUCCAACCUACAGGGCCAGUCCCCUCUUGGCCAUCGGGCAGCAGCUGGCCCAGCAGAUGCAGCUGGACGGCGGCAGUGAGCUCUGACCUGGCCUGCCGUGAACUCCGGGGACCCGCCCUGUGCCAUCCUUGCCCCGAGCCUGUCAGGAGAGCCCACUGUGAGAAUGAAUGAAGACACCAUCUCAGGCAUUGGGAUGGGGGCAGUUCUGUGCCCCCCAUGGCCCUGGGCUUCCUUCCAGACUGCUCUUGGCUUCUCCAGGCGGGCCGCCCAGCUGGCUGCCCACGUCCCUUGGCACGACCCACCACCCAGCAGGCCGUGAGGAUGCCCAGCUCCCCCGCAGCCCUGAGGCACUGUCACGCGAUAACACCCAUGACAGCUGCUUGGGCUGGCUGCGUUGUGCUGAGAUGUUGGGGCCCAGCCCCUGCAUGGCCCAGCGGGUUCUUGGCCGCCACCCCAUGACCCGGGUUCCAGGGUGCUGCUAUCAGCGCACGUGUCCAGGAUAUUGGGAGAGCCAGCCGGCUCCUGGAGAUAGCAAGACGCCAGCCUUCCGGGUCUUUCUCUGAUGUCGCGUUCCCGAGCCAGCUAGUCGCCUGCUUCUGGACCUGAGACCCUCGGCCUGCGUGGACAGUCUUCUUACUUUGAAGUCAGACUCAGGAAACUGCAUUUUCUUCUAAAGGUGUUAAAAUAACAUGGGUUAAAGUGAUAAUCACAGACGUGUUCCUGAUGUUGGCUUGUGUUUCUUAAGGCUUUGUUAAGAUUGGGAAAUGUUGUUUUUCAGAUUCCGGGGAGAAAAUCAGUGAUUACUUAUAUCUUUGAAUUCAGACAUUUUCUGGUGCCACAGAGGCUGCUGGGCUGAGCAGUCUACGGGGCCUCCUGCCGGGCUGAAGCCUUCUGCCCUCCUCAUCUGGUCGCUGCUGGCAGAAGACGGGGCCCUGGGGGCUGGGCCAGCUGGGGGAAACCCAAGAGCCUGGAGAGGGGAGUGCCCCCUGGGCUGGGGCUGGAGCUGGGGUAUCAGGUGCUUUUCCUGCCGAGGCCGAGGUCCUCAGGAAUGCAGAGCUUCCAGCCACCCCCGGGACCCCCACUCAUGCCCUUGACUUUCGCCCUCUGCUCGGGUUCAGGUCAGUGCCUGGCGGGCCACACAGCACAGGGUUCAUGCGGCCUUCUCCUGCCUGGUGCCCUGGGUCCUUGUGCGGCAGUAAUUAUUCCCAGCUCCAGUCUCCUAAGUUGGGAGCACAUUCUAAUUACAUCACAAUGUGUAAUUAGAGAAUCGGUCCUGCUCAGCCCCGGGCUCUGGGCGCUGUGUGAACAGCCUUCCCUCUGCCUCCUGCAGGUGCACAUCCCCCACCCAACAGGGUGAUGUGCUCCCUCCUGCAGCCUGCCGCCCGGCAGGGUGCGCCCCCCACUCUCAUUCCCAGCCAGCCUUUCUGCCCCGGUCUGUAGCUGACCCCCGUGCCCCACCCAGCACACACCGAGGAAGCUCAGUCUGGUGCAGCAGGCACAGCUGUCCGCUGCUGUAAGCUCAGUGGGGUCCCUGGGCCCCACUAGGAGGUCUCUAGGGGAGGGGACAGUUGCAAGUGUGAGUGAGGAUGUCAGCUCCUGCCAGCUGAACUCAUGUCCCAAACACCAGUGGUGGAGGCCCCGGGUUGGGUGGGUGAGGAGCACCCGGGAGGCUGGCUUGGGACUGACCCAGCGUUCCUGCACAGCAGGCUGGGGAUGCCAUCUAGUGGGGGACCUGAGAGGAGAGAGGGUGUGUCGGUCAUCUGCUAGUUCCUGCUAUACUGCUUGUAACUGAAAACCCAAGCCGUGGCGGCUGGUUAUAUUGAAAUGGGGUGGGUUGUCCCUCUCAGAAUGAGAGCCUGGACUUAAGGUGCCGUCAGCAGCCGUGUCUUAUUCCUCCUGUUGCUAAAGCAGCUGCUAGCUCCCCAGCCAUCACAUCCACAUUCCAGGCAGGAAAAGGGGGAGGGCCGAGGGUGGACAAUGGUUUCCGUUGGCAGUAGGGCAGGGCAAGGCCUGGGCUUCCUCAGCAGAGCCGUCCACUCCGCCACGGCCCCCAGCGAGCCGGGUGGGUGUUGGUGUAUCUCAGCGUCACAUGUGCAGCACGUCCUCUCGCCAGGUCCUUGUGCUGCUGAUCCUGCUGCCAGGGGGUCUGAGCUGCCCUCUGACCUGGGGCCAAAAGGGCAGCAGGGUGGUGGUGGUAGCAGGAUGGUCAGGAAGGUUUCCCUGGACGUCUGACUCCUCGGGCCCUGGGCCUAGGUCAGAUGUCCAAAAGCAGGACAAGAGGGUGCCCCCUGAGAAGAAGGUGGCCAGCGCUCCUGCUCUGGCUCAGCCCUGCAUAGAUCCCUCUGGCCCUGCAGAUGGGGGUGAGGGGUGGAGGGAGGAGCCCCCUAGAGCCAGCAGGAGGGCAGAGGCAGGGCUAUGGGGUACUCUGCAGGAAGGGAGAGACCAGAGCUGCAUCCAAGUAAAGUUUGGGGUCCUGUACUGGGUUUGGGGGCAGCCAGGAGCUGGGCCUUUAACGGGGCCGUAGUGGGCCGUGCUCCCACGCUGCCUCUGCUUGCGUCUUGUCUGAGAUCUGUCGAGGCAGCAGUGCGACCUUCCUGGUGUGUGAAGAGACCCAGUGGCCCUGAAAUCCGAGGCCUCAGCUCCAGCCUUACCUAGAGGACGGCCAGGGGGCCUCCAGGGGAGGGGGGCUGGGGCCCCUGCUGGGCUCAGAUCUGGCCCCUGCCCACAGCGCCUGGGUUUCAGGCAGGGCUUGUCCAGAUGAAUGCAGUGUCCAGGCCCCUCGUCUUUAAACACCUGCAUGUAUUGUGUACGUCUUAAACGGAGUAGGCCAGUGCCCCGUGUGUGUGUGGAUAAGCGUGUGCACACACAUGGGGUACAUGUGUGUGGACAAACGUGGUGUAUACAUGUGGAUAAAUGCACAUUCUGGGGAAGGCCUGCUGGAAUCCCUGUCAAGCUGCCCACCAGCUUGGUGGCCUCCCUCGUGCUCAGAUGGAUUAUGAAAGGAAGAGUCUUCCCUCUGUGUGAAUGCCUUGGGGAGGGGAGGGGUGUGCGGGGAGGGGAUACUCAGGAGACGGAUGUGUUUGGGAGGGUUUGGGUGUCUUGAGGUUCCUCUAGAAUUUGCUGCAGGCUGCCCUCUGUCCUCAGAGACUCAGCCUCCCCACCACGCCCCUAGACCCAUGAGACCGGACUCUUCUAAGUGCCCUGACCUGGACAGGGCACCGUGCCUGGCUCCUGCACACCUGGGACCCUCGCCUUACCUGGCCCAAAGCCCCCGGCUGCUGUGGGGGACAGGUCUGGGAUAACACAUGAGGGCGGGAGCGGUCAGGCAGUCUGCUGCAGCCCCAGAUCGUUGUCAGUGCCGCAGGGAGUGGCCGGUCCACUGUCCCCCUCUCUCAACGCCCCUGUCCCUUCUCUCAGAGCUGCUUGGGGCCUGGAGGUGGCUGCCCUUCCUGACAGCACAGGCCUCGGGUGGGGAUCUUCUCUUGGGACCAAGGGCUAGGCGAGGGCCCCACAUUGUGGAUAGGCCCAACCCUGGGAGCAGGUGGGGUCCCCCUUUUCCAGCAGAGCUCAGGGCUGCCUGGGCAGGACCCCACUCGGGACAUCUCAGCUGCAAGGCCCCUGGGACGAGUGCAUGACAUUGGCUGGGGGUGAGGGUCAGUAACACCACUGACCCUUGGCUGUUCCUGCUCUAGGGCCAAGUGCCCCAAACUCCUUGGUCAGUUUUCCCCUGGGGCGGGGGCUGCUGGUGAAACCAGAUUUGGACAGGAGACAGCACUGGGACCUAUCUUUUGACUCAGGAGAUGCUGCUGCUGCUGCUGGCUGGGGUCACAUCCUGUGGGGGAGGGGCAGGCGGGGGUGGGUGAUAGGUCACCGACCUGGGAGACCUGGGGAAGUCCUCACCCUAGCCCCACUUAGGUGGCCCAGCCGUCCUCUGGAACACCUGUCCUGCUUUUAAGGACACAGCUGCCACGGGCACAGGUGUGGGACUGUGAGCGAGUGUGCACUGCAUUUGUGGGGAUGAACGCCUCUGUUCAUGCUCGUGUGUGCACACGUGUAGUAUGUGCAUGCCUCUGCGUGUGCACGUGCCCACGUGCUUUCAGGUGCAAACUCAAGCAUUCUGUGUAGGUGUUGCUUUUAUGUGCAUGACUUCCUACUGGAAUAGGGGCGAGAGCUGUCAUUCCUGAUUCCGGAGCACUUGUGUCAAGAAGAGAGGAAUUUUACUGAUUUCCUUCUUGGCUCCUGUGGAGAAAGUCCUGUGUUUUGUUAUUUUGUUGUUAUUUUUCCUGCUGGGGGGCGAGUGGUGUGAUUGCUUUUCCUCCUGCUGCUCGGCUUUGCAUUCCUGGGGUCACAUGCUUGGCUUGGGUUGUGUUUUGGUUGCUGGGGUUUCCUGGGGGGGUGCUGAGAGGUGCAGACUGGGCAUCGCCUUGAAAACCCGCGGGUCUCCAGGAAGCUUUCCACACAGCAUCUCUGAGCUUCCACCCUCUGAAGGGGGAAGGGGUGGCGGGGAGGAGGCAGAUGAUCCCUGCCUUUGCCCUGCUGGAGCCCUGGGGUGGGGGGUGGGGGGUGGGAGGGCCCAGUGCAGCCUCCAGCCCUGCCCCGCCCUCCUCCUGAGGUUCUGUGGAGGCCGCCGUGGGCCCCGCGGGACUCCGGCCCGGCCUGCCCCGUGGAUGUCCUGCUCCCAACAUUCCAGAAGGAGCGGGUCACUGUGCCGUGCCCACCACUCCUCUCAGUCCUGCUGUGGGUCUUGCCCGCACAGUCCCUAACCAGACAGCCCCCCCCCCCCGGCCCCUGAAGCCUGCUGCGUUCUCCUUGUUAUCUGUGACAAAACCCUGCUGCAUGAGGAACAUCCCCAUCCGUCAGCCACACUCUCCUUCCCGGCAAGCUCCGCGGGGCCUCUGAGCCUGUCUGCACGGAACAGCCAGAGGGCACAGCCAGCCUGUGGUGGGCACGGCCUGCCCCCAUGCUGCCCUCGACACUUCCCUCGGUCUUGACUGUAAAAUGCGCUUGAAAUCAGGUGUCCGCUCAGGAGUGGGGGCCUGAUCUCAGGAGAUGUGGAAGGGGAGAGCCCUGGGAGAUGGGCAGCCCCGGGAGGGGAGCCCCAAGGGACCCACAGAGGACCAUGUGCCCACGGCUGCCUCCAGAGGAGGCCCAAGGAUCCAGUGACCAAUUCUCAGAAGGAAGCCUGGGCGUGCGUUGACUGUUGGCUCUGCUGGGGGCGCUUGGGGCUGAGGGGCAUCAGGGGUCCCCAGUGUCAAGGCCACCGGGGCAGGGAGACCCUUUUCUAACCCUACCCCACCGUCCCCAGCUUGUGGUGGGCCUGCAGCCCCCGCCCCUGGAUUUGGGCACAGCUGUGGACUUGAUCUGGCCUCGGGCCUGAGGGACACGUGCCACUUUGGGGGAUGCUUCCGGAGUCCAUGCACAUGCACUGAGCUGGUGUGGUGACCGGCAGGGCUGCGGACGGUGGCCUGUCCAGCAGCCUGGUCUCCGGCUGUGCGCACCACGGGGACCAGAGCCCUGGCCCACCCACGGUGAUGGUGGAAGCCACUGGCUAUCUGGGAAUGGGCCUUCCUGUGAUGGACGCACCUGCUUUCUCGCACCCACUGAGAAGACCGAGGAAUAACCAGAGAGUGGUACUCUGGCUCCUGAGGUCUGGAGCUGGGGCCUCCCCAAGCCAGGCCAGAAACCCCCGGAAACGACAGGUGUCUGCAGCAGCGAGCCGCACAGCCUCCCACAAACGCAGGGUUCUCUCACGUGCAGUGGGGCUGGAAAUCCACCUGCAGGCCCCACUGAAGCCGUGGGACAGCGCAAAUGGCACCGAUGCUGUGCACCUGACUCGAGUCAGAGGCGGCAACAGCGCACGACUUCGAGUGCAGAAGACACUGCCCAGUGAAGCUUCUAGAAGGCGCCCAACAGUGCACUCGUAGGAAAGCUUACCAUUUUAAAGGGCCUCAGUAUAAUCAAGACAGAAUGGAAGAGGGGUGUCUGGGCAGCUCAUUGGUUGCGCGUCCGGCUCCUGAUCUCAGCUCAGGUCUCGAUCUCAGGGUCAUGAGUUCGGGCCCCGUGUUGGGCUCCACGCCUGGCAUGGAGCCAACUUGAGAAAGCAAGAGAACUAAAUAUGUGAAUUAAACGUUCAAUUCCAGACCAUAGAAAAGAAAAUAAGAUAAAGCCCAAGGAAGCAGGAGGAACAUGUGAACAGGUAAAAGGAGUGGCUGGUUUGGCCAACAGCACACAUUGGAACAGAGAAGCCAAGUCCAUGAAUGUCCUCUAGGAGGAAUCUGGGGGCCUCGAGCUUUGGGAGUUGGUCGGCUGUCAGGGGAGCCCUGGGCAGGUGCCCCUCAGCCUGGCCUGUGCCCCACCCAGCACCCCCCACCCCCACCGACAGUGACAGGACCUGCAGACGGCCUUCCUGAUUACAUGGCGCUCUGCCAUUGCCCCUGAGGAUGGCAACAGGAACAUGAGCCUGGCUUCCCCUCCUCCCUCCCCCUCCCCUGCUCCCUCUCCCCUUCCCCUCCUCUCCAUCCUCUCCCUUCCCUCUCCGGCCCUCCCCUCCAUCCUGUCUCCCCUCCUCUUCUGCCCCUUCAUCCCUACCCCCGCCCCCGUCCUGUCCUCUCCCCCCAACUCCCUUCCCCCUAAGACCUGUGCACUAGCCUGGAGCUCUCUGCUCUGGUCUCUGAGAUGCCGUUGGGGGCAGACAGUGGGGCACCGGUGUCUUGCCUCAUGCCCUUUCUACCAAGGGGAAGGAUUUUGGACUGAGCCACAGGGACCUGGGCUCCCAGGAUUGUGCAGCAGGUCAGAGACCCUGGCUGCUCCAAAGGGAUCAUUUCUCAUGGCCCAAGUGAUGUCCUGGCAAUCUGGGAAGAGAGCCAGAGCCCCUAAUGUUGGAGUGCCUGAAUGCUUGUGGAGCCACGGUGGGGUCCGCGGGCUGGAAAGGUGCCCUCUGCACCCCUGUGCUCAGCCAUGCCAGCGUGGGUCCUAGGGAGCUGCCUGGAGACCCCCAACACUGAAAGAAGCAGCAUGCCUCUCCUCCCACCUGGCCCCAAGAGCUGAGCUUGCUCCGCCAAGUCCCCUUCCUCGAGGGAAAGCAGGGGCCCUGUGGAGCGUUGUUGGGGUGAUGCUGGCUGAGGGACCCCAUCCGUGCACGUGGCCCCUCUCCCGGCCAGACAGCGGCCUCAGACGUCUUCUCCUUCGUUCUGUCCAACUGAAGGCUGUGAGCAGAAAGACAAGCAGCUGCUCGAGCCCGAGGCAGGGCUCUUUGGAUGGAAGUAGGAAGACUGCCCUGCAGCCCGGGAGGCCGCACCACAGGGCUGAGCCUUCGGACGUCGUCUGGGGUUUGCAGCGUGCUCACUUAGAGAACCGUGAGCGUGGCCACAGCCCAGCCCUGCGGCAUGUUCCACAGCUCCUGGGCCCCAAAUUCCAAGCCCAUCUUUACCGUCACCUGGGAAGGGGGCUCACGACGGGCUGUCCUCCGCAGCCGCUCUCUCCUGCCGUGGCUGUGUGUGGUAAUAAGGGUGGUGGGGCGUGCCGCUCCCGGCCUCGGGCGGUGCACACGUCAGCUCGUGAAGCCCUCCCAACCCUGCGAGGAGGUGCUGCGUGGCCCUGCAGCACAGAGGAGGAAACAGGCAGGGGGGACUGGGUCUUCUCCCCUACGGAGAGGAGCUGAGGCCCAGGUCACCAGCUCCCAAGAGGCAGCCCAAGAUGGCCCUGUCACCUCCACCACCUGGUGUCGCCUCUCCCACACGGCUCGGUGUUUCUCCAAGGACACAGACCCAAGGCCCAUGCAGUGGAGGCCGGCCUGGCCCUUCCCAGGGCCUGCUAUCCCUGCAGGCCGGAUGCUGCUCUCUCUCCUGCAUCCCAGCUCUGCCAGACUGCUACCCGAGCCCCCUCCUGCCUGGCUAGCCCAUCUCUUCCUCACUGAUGUCUCUGGGACUCCAUUCUGGCCUCACUGGACUCCCUGCCCCCACCCCCACCCCCACCCCACCCCUACUGUCUCUGCACCUCUCCCGGGAUUGGAGGAAGUUUUCCCAAAUUCCAGCCCUGCCUGGAGUGUCCAGAACCCAUGCAGGCUGUGCACGCUCCUCCCCUCCUGCCUUCCCAUCCCCACACCUGUUUCGUCUCUGAUACCUGUCCCAUCCUCCACGCCUGUCCCAUCCAGACACCUGUCUCAUCCCUGACACCUGUCCCAUCCCCACACCUCUCAUCCCCCACACCUGUCCCAUCUCCCAGACCUGUCCCAUCCCUGACACCUGGCCCAUCUCCCAGACCUCUUCCAUCCCCCACACAUGCCCCGUACCUAUCACAUCUUCUACACCUGUCUCAUCCCCUACACCUAUUCCAUCCUCCAUACUUGUCCCAUCCCCCACACCUGUCCCAUGCCCCACACCUGUCCCAUCCCCCACACCUGUCUCAUCCCUGACCUAUCCCAUUCUCCACACCUCUCGCAUUCCCCACACCUGACUCAUCCCCAUACCUGUUUGAUUUUCCACGUCUGUCUUAUCCCUGACACCUGUCCCAUGCCCUACACCUCACUCAUCUUUGACACUGUUCCAUCCCCCAAACCUAGUCCCAUACACUCGUCCUAGCCCCAGUGAACAUGUCAGGUGCCUACCCUCAGUAGCUACCAUUCAGGUGACAAAACCUUAAUUAUCCGUGUCCCUGAGCCACAGGGCAGGCAAUGGGAUGGCAGGUGCAGUGGGCGUGAAACUGCAGCCCCAAGAGCUACCAAGGAAUGAGCUGGCCCUGUCCUCUUGAAGGCAUGAGGUCGUGUGCUGUCAGUGAGGCCCGUGCACUGGACUCCACCCACAGCAGUGCUUCGGAGGAGCACCCAGGGGCUGGGAUGAGGUCUGAUGACCUCAUGUGCGAUGACCUGGAGUCUGGGUGACCCCCAGGCACCAUCCAUGGGAGCCUUGGCCAGCUGGGCGGCGCUGGCCCUGGUGAGUGCUGGGGUCCUCUGUCAGGACCUUGUCUGUCCCAGCACGGUGUCCGCAUCUUGGCCUGUGUCCCCAAAACUGUGGGCUGCGGGGUGGGAGGGCUCAGGGUGUCUGGAGAGGAACAAGAGCUGGUGAUGGGGUUCUGUUAAAGUGUUCUGCAUUCCUGCAUGUAGAAAGCUAAACUCCAUGGACUUUGUUUAUGAGACAUUGCUAAUGAUUUA